UUUUCCUCCGCUGGCAGGAAAAAUAACCUGGACGUUACCUAGACAAUCAGUGGUGGGGGGUGGGAAAUAAAAAUGUGGAGUGUGUCUUUAGUCUCCUGUGAUGUGAUGUUCAUACAUGUCGUGUAGCACCGAGGUGGCGUUUGAGGAACGUCAGUGAGAGUGGAGACAAAAGGACGUCCUGCAGAGUCACAAACAGACGUUUCCUCUUGUACAAACAGCUGGUUUAAAAGGUCUUGUUUUGGGCUGUUAUUGGAUUGUGGCCGUGUGUAAUCAGACAUCUCUCUCUCUCUCUCUCUCUCUCUCUCUCUCUCUCUCUUCUCUCUCUCUCUCUCUCUCUCUCUCUCUCUCUCUCUGUUAGCUCAGAUGUAAUUAGCUCUGCAGCAGCCGAGCGUGACUGGAGGAACACCCACCCGGAUGAAGACGAGGAACAAAUACAACUGUUUCAACCAGUGUUUCCCGACGUAUUCCAGAGCUGCAGUUUGACUUUGUCCCGUCUGAUCGUCUGACUGCUUGGGUUUCUGGACUCAUUUGGUAUCUCUUUUUUGAAGGAGCAGGAUCCAGAUCUGCCAUGACAACACUCAUCAUUACUACUAGUAUCUAUAGGUUCCUAGGUGGGUGGAGCUGGAGGCCAUCGAGGAAGUGAAGGCAGUUGGCCACUGUCCUCCACCUAGAUUAUACAAGACUUCCCCAUCCUGCCACUAAGGAGGCUCCCUCU